rnacentral:rRNA from 1 species
UGCAGUCGAGCGGGCCCUUUCGGGGGUCAGCGGCAGACGGGUGAGUAACACGUGGGAACGUGCCCUUCGGUUCGGAAUAACUCAGGGAAACUUGAGCUAAUACCGGAUACGCCCUUUUGGGGAAAGGUUUACCGCCGAAGGAUCGGCCCGCGUCUGAUUAGCUAGUUGGUGGGGUAACGGCCUACCAAGGCGACGAUCAGUAGCUGGUCUGAGAGGAUGAUCAGCCACACUGGGACUGAGACACGGCCCAGACUCCUACGGGAGGCAGCAGUGGGGAAUAUUGGACAAUGGGCGCAAGCCUGAUCCAGCCAUGCCGCGUGAGUGAUGAAGGCCUUAGGGUUGUAAAGCUCUUUUGUCCGGGACGAUAAUGACGGUACCGGAAGAAUAAGCCCCGGCUAACUUCGUGCCAGCAGCCGCGGUAAUACGAAGGGGGCUAGCGUUGCUCGGAAUCACUGGGCGUAAAGGGCGCGUAGGCGGCUUUUUAAGUCGGGGGUGAAAGCCUGUGGCUCAACCACAGAAUUGCCUUCGAUACUGGAAAGCUUGAGACCGGAAAGAGGACAGCGGAACUGCGAGUGUAGAGGUGAAAUUCGUAGAUAUUCGCAAGAACACCAGUGGC